rnacentral:rRNA from 1 species
UACGUAGGGUGCGAGCGUUAAUCGGAAUUACUGGGCGUAAAGCGUGCGCAGGCGGCUUUGCAAGACAGAUGUGAAAUCCCCGGGCUCAACCUGGGAACUGCAUUUGUGACUGCAAGGCUAGAGUACGGCAGAGGGGGAUGGAAUGCCGCGUGUAGCAGUGAAAUGCGUAGAUAUGCGGAGGAACACCAAUGGCGAAGGCAAUCCCCUGGGCCUGUACUGACGCUCAUGCACGAAAGCGUGGGGAGCAAACAGG